GGCCCAUCUCUUGCUCAACAAAUAUCACCGGUAGCCAACGGCGGUUGCCCCACUUAAUCCCCGACAAAGACGUCGC
rfam:Pseudomonas putida S11 PPS11_c160, whole genome shotgun sequence.